AACGUUUACUUUGAAAAAAUUAGAGUGUUCUUAGCAGGCUCUCGAGCCUGGAUAAUGGUGCAUGGAAUAAUGGAAUAGGACCUCGGUUCUAUUUUGUUGGUUUUCGGAGCGCGAGGUAAUGAUUAAGAGGGACAGACGGGGGCAUUCGUACUGUGCCGUUAGAGGUGAAAUUCUUGGAUCGGCGCAAGACGAACGACUGCGAAAGCAUUUGCCAAGAAUGUUUUCUUUAAUCAAGAGCGAAAGUCAGAGGUUCGAAGACGAUCAGAUACCGUCCUAGUUCUGACUAUAAACGAUGCCAACUAGCGAUCGGGGGGCGUUACAUUGACGACCCCUCCGGCAGCUUACGGGAAACCAAAGUCUUUGGGUUCCGGGGGAAGUAUGGUUGCAAAGCUGAAACUUAAAGGAAUUGACGGAAGGGCACCACCAGGAGUGGAGCCUGCGGCUUAAUUUGACUCAACACGGGAAAUCUCACCCGGCCCGGACACAGUGAGGAUUGACAGAUUGAGAGCUCUUUCUUGAUUCUGUGGGUGGUGGUGCAUGGCCGUUCUUAGUUGGUGGAGCGAUUUGUCUGGUUAAUUCCGAUAACGAACGAGACUCUGGCUUGCUAAAUAGUUACGCGACCAUCCCGGUCGGCGUUUAACUUCUUAGAGGGACAAGUGGCGUUUAGCCACACGAGAUUGAGCAAUAACAGGUCUGU
rnacentral:ncRNA from 1 species